rnacentral:rRNA from 1 species
AGACCCGAAACCCGGUGAUCUAGCCAUGGGCAGGUUGAAGGUUGGGUAACACUAACUGGAGGACCGAACCGACUAAUGUUGAAAAAUUAGCGGAUGACCUGUGGCUGGGGGUGAAAGGCCAAUCAAACCGGGAGAUAGCUGGUUCUCCCCGAAAGCUAUUUAGGUAGCGCCUCGUGAAUUCAUCUCCGGGGGUAGAGCACUGUUUCGGCUAGGGGGCCAUCCCGGCUUACCAACCCGAUGCAAACUGCGAAUACCGGAGAAUGUUAUCACGGGAGACACACGGCGGGUGCUAACGUCCGUCGUGAAGAGGGAAACAACCCAGACCGCCAGCUAAGGUCCCAAAGUCAUGGUUAAGUGGGAAACGAUGUGGGAAGGCCCAGACAGCCAGGAUGUUGGCUUAGAAGCAGCCAUCAUUUAAAGAAAGCGUAAUAGCUCACUGGUCGAGUCGGCCUGCGCGGAAGAUGUAACGGGGCUAAACCAUGCACCGAAGCUGCGGCAGCGACACUAUGUGUUGUUGGGUAGGGGAGCGUUCUGU